rnacentral:tRNA from 1 species
CGCGGGGUGGAGCAGCUUGGUAGCUCGUCGGGCUCAUAACCCGAAGGUCGUCAGUUCAAAUCAGGCCCCCGCAACCA